UUAAUCACUUAUUUAUUUUAUUUCAGGAAAUUGUAGGUAAAUAAAGAAAGAAGAGAAAAUGCAAGAAAAAGAAGAAAAGGGAAAAGAAAAGAAGAAAAAAAGAGAGUUGGCAAGUAAGGGACACAUGGAGGGCCACAAUCUUCCCAACACACAAGGCACAUGGAUGGUCAAGAUUGAGCCACCCUACCCCUAAACCCUAAUUCUUUAGUUAUAAAUACCCCAUUCUCUUUACUUGUAAUGACUAACCUAGCUACCUACCCACUUUUUCUACCUAGUCAUUUCUAUAGUUAGUAUCUUAGAUAGAUUUACAUUUUGCUAGCCCCAAUUUCUUUUCCAAGCUUGUAUAUACUUUUUAAUUUCAAUGCAAAUCUCUUUUAGCUUAAUCUUGUAUUGUCUUUUUAAUUUAUGUUCUAAAAGUGACAUGAUGCUUCUUAGUACCACCACAUGCUUUUAAGCUUUUGGGAAAAGGAGAAUCAUUGAGCUUGUGAUUAGUAUAGAUUUGUGAGCUUUUGAAUAGUCAACUAAAUCCUAGCACAAAAUUAAUUUGUGUUAGGGUUUAAAUUUAAAACCCCAAAAUUAUUUCAGUUUUUAUGCAUUAUUAAGUAAUUGCUUUGCUUUAUUAAUUAAAAUCUCAAAUCAAUAGCUCAAUUUUCGAUUUAAACAACACCACCAACUCCCCUGUUUCGAUUAAAAAUAAAAGCCCCUGCUCUGUUUUUCUUUUUUUUUCCUUUUUACGAGUGCAGUGCUGAGUUAUUACCGAGUUUUCUGAGUUGCGUUUAUUGUUGAGUUGGAUGUAUUGAGUUUUUGUUUGUUUUUCAGCGAAUCACCGAGUCCAAAUACCCUGUUAAUUCUGCUUGGUUUUGAUUUGAUUUCUGAGUUUGUUCCGAGUUUUAAACUGCUGAAUCUUGUUCUGUGUUUGUCCGAGUAGCUAAGUCUGUGCUCGUUUCCUGGUUGGGUUCUGUUUUCGGAGUCUGCAGUUUGGUGUAUUUUGUUUGAGUUCGUUAGUUUCUUGCUGCGAGUCCUUGCUCUCGUUUGUGUGUCUGGGUUGUUUCCGAGCUUUAGUUUAGAGUUUUAUCGAUUUUGUCUGCUGGGUUUCGAUGGCCGAGUGUUACCGAGUCGCAGCUGAGUUGCUUUGUAUUUCACUGAGUCAUGUUUGCCGAGUUGGAUUUGCCGAUUCUAUGUUUUGUUUCGAUAGUUUAAGAUUGAUUAGUUUUGAGUUUUUAGUUUAGUUAUAGUCGGGGUUCGGUGGUGGUUUUAGUUGGCUGAUUUUCGAGUGCUUUCCUUGCUCUGUUUUUGGGUUUAUUUGGCACUGAGUUCGUUUUCUGGUUAGUUGACUCUGUUGGUCAAGUUCUGGUUUUGCGUCAAGUUCGUGUGUGGUCUUCUUUGAUUUGUGUUUUGGUUAAUUAACAGAGUUGUACACCCAGCCAUUUGCCACUUGCCUGCUUGUUUUGGUAAUUUGUUUUGGGCUCCUUCAAAUUACUGACCACCCACAACACAUUCUUUACAAAACUAACCACCUUUUAUUUCACUUCACAAAACUAACCACCCUAAUUCGAAACAUCCAGGGGCGAACACCACAGAAAUUAUUUUUGCAGGAGGCCCCUCCCAGGGGCGAACAACAAACAAUUUUCCUUAUAUGUUCGCCCCCCCCACGGGCGAACAUAGUAGGGAAAAUGUUUGUUCGUUUGCUCAAAAAUUCUUCACUUUUCAGUUCGUUUAUUUAAUUUAUAAAAUAUUCAAAAAAAGGGGAAAUUGUGAUAAUUUAUAUUAUUAUAUUUUAUAAUAUUAUAUUAUAUAAUGAUAUAAUAUUACAAAAUUAUUUUAUAUUAAAAUAUAAUAUUUUAAUAUUUAAGUUCAUAUUUAAGCUCAUAAAAGAUAAAUAAUAUUGUUAUUGUUUUAUUUUUGUUAAUCCGAAAACGUCAUGUAAUAUCUUGUCCCGAAUGCAUUUGAUCAAACACAGCACUUUUAUUCAUAGAAGAUAUUAAAACAACGAUAACACGACUUAAAUUGAAAAGCAGAAAACAAUCACGACGAAACUA
rnacentral:lncRNA from 1 species